rnacentral:lncRNA from 1 species
AUGCUUUAAUACUAUUCCUAGGUAAGACAUUUUGAAGUAUGUGUUUCCCAUAAUUUCUGCUUUUACUGUAAUAAAAACUCAAUUUAAAUAACAUGAUCAUCACAAGGUUAAGAGAAGUGUCAAAGGUGAUUCAAUGAUAUUAUCAAUAGCAAGUUUUUUCUAAAUAAUUUACAAUUUUUUUAGACAAUUCCAUGAGAAAGAUAUAGUAAAGUUUUAAUAAAGCCACAAAGCGUGUAAUCCGCUUUAUAUAUCAAUAUAGAUAAUCUGAAC